GGUCAUUAUGAGACUACUAAGGCGUCUCACAUGGGUAGCGGCCACUUGUCAAUUCUUUGUGUGCCCCGGAACGUGUAUGCAUGUCAAACACCUCUGCUGAUCACUUGUCUCGGUUUCGUUUCCAGGCUUUCCUCUCGACACUACCCAACGCUUCCAGACGAGCGACACCUGCACCUCUAUUCCAAGACAUGAUAAUGGAUUAAAGACUUUGUUAGAUCACGCACGUCACAUUUCUCAUCUGGCACUCUCAGUAAACUCUAGGAACACUUAUGAAAGGGCUUUUCACGUAUUCAUGAAAUUUAUCACCGAGUUUAACAUCCACGACAUGUUUGCGUUAGAAACGAUUUUAAGUGUUACUUCUUUUUGCCACAUCAACCUUAAACUAUUCUUUUUAAUACCAUUAAACUAUACCUAACCGGCAUCCAGCACCAUAUGCUUAUCCAACAAUCUAACACUACGGGUUUCUUGACAUCAUAUCAAAUAAAAACAUUACUUAAAGACAUUAAAAAAAUUAGAUACACAUGUUCCCUCACAAAGACUACCCAUAGACAACAACAUAUUCCACUCUCUAUCCAACUUAUUAGAUUCGUCUCCUUAUGAACCCAUGACCAAUAACAUAAUAUAAACAGCCCUAUAUCUCGCUUUUUACGGGUUCCUACGUCUCAGUGAAUUUACAACCACGACCUUCACAGCACACGAUUACCUAAGAACUAAUGAUUUACAAAAACAUACCGACCAUUACAUUCUCUCCUUAAGACAAUCAAAAACCAGCCCUGAAGGACACACUAUUCAAAUUCCUCUGUACCCUACUCACAAUAUAUGGUGCCCAGUAAAAGGUUUGGAUACUUAUUCCCUUUAAGUCCAAAAACAACCCCAACAGCCUUUGUUUGAACUGCAUGGACACACUCUGACCACAACUAAAUUCAUGCUAUACAUACGACUACUGUUGACCAGGCUCGGCUUAAACCCCAAUCAAUUUUCAGGUCACUCUUUCCUUAUAGGGGCAGCAUCUUCAGCAUCCGCUAACCACAUACCCGCUCAUAUUAUUAAGGCUAUGGGACGCUAGAAAUCCACACUCUACAUACCUAAUCCCGAUAAAGAAUUAAGACAAGCUUUUUCUGACUUAUCUCAAUAAAAGAAGUUGGUUCACGAAUCAUGUUUCCUGGUAAUUUUUCUUUUUGCCCACUUUUAUUACAGGCCUACUGCUUUGUCGGUUCCGGCACACCACAACCGAC